AAUUGUGACCAUACCACCUUAUGCAUGUCCUAUCUCAUCUGAUCUCAGAACUAAAGCACGGUUGGGCCUGGUUAGUACUUGGAAUAGGAAGCUGCUGGGAACAUCAGGUGUUACAGUGC
rnacentral:rRNA from 1 species